AUUACCUACGGGACGCAGCAGUGGGGAAUAUUGGGCAAUGGGCGCAAGCCUGAACGAGCGAUGCCGCGUGAGUGAAGAAGGCCUUCGGGUCGUAAAGCUCUGUUGCGGGGGAAAAAGGCAGCAUCAGGAAAUGGGUGCUGACUGAUGGUGCCCCGCCAGAAAGUCACGACUAACUACGUGCCAGCAGCCGCGGUAAUACGUAGGUGGCGAGCGUUAUCCGGAAUGAUUGGGCGUAAAGGGUGCGCAGGCGGUCCUGCAAGUCUGGAGUGAAACGCAUGAGCUCAACUCAUGCAUGGCUUUGGAAA
rnacentral:rRNA from 1 species